GACGAACGCUGGCGGCGUGCCUAAUACAUGCAAGUAGAACGCUGAAGCGAGGAGCUUGCUCUUCUUGGAUGAGUUGCGAACGGGUGAGUAACGCGUAGGUAGCCUGCCUUGUAGCGGGGGAUAACUAUUGGAAACGAUAGCUAAUACCGCAUAACAAUGGAUGACACAUGUCAUUUAUUUGAAAGGGGCAAUUGCUCCACUACAAGAUGGACCUGCGUUGUAUUAGCUAGUAGGUGAGGUAAUGGCUCACCUAGGCGACGAUACCUAGCCGACCUGAGAGGGUGAUCGGCCACACUGGGACUGAGACACGGCCCAGACUCCUACGGGAGGCAGCAGUAGGGAAUCUUCGGCAAUGGGGGCAACCCUGACCGAGCAACGCCGCGUGAGUGAAGAAGGUUUUCGGAUCGUAAAGCUCUGUUGUAAGUCAAGAACGGGUGUGAGAGUGGAAAGUUCACACUGUGACGGUAGCUUACCAGAAAGGGACGGCUAACUACGUG
rnacentral:rRNA from 1 species